AUGGCAGUCCCUAAAUUUAAAUCAGAAAGGGACAUGAGGGACAGCAGAGCUCAAUCAAGAAGACCAUCACAUGCGGAGGAUAUAAAUCUAAGAGAUAUUUUACAAGAGAUUCAAAAACUGGCGGAGAGACAGGAAGAGCAUCAAAGAGAAGCUCAACUGAAGUUAGAUAAACAAGCCUACCAACAAAAGGAACUUCACCAAGAAAUGCUUGAGAUGAAAAAAGAAAUUAAGGAAGACAUUGGAUUUCUGAAAAGGGAAAUGGAAAAAUCACAUAGGGACAUUAAUGAGCUGAAAGUAGAGAACAUUAAAAUAAUUAAAUCCCAGGGGAAAUUACAGAAAAAACUAGAUGGGCUCAAAUUCAAAAACGAAAAAUUAGAAAAAAUGCAGGAGAAAAUUGAACUGAAUGAGAAAGAAUUCCAAUUACGUUUCCGAAAUAUUCAAGAGGAAGCCAAUGAAAACUUAAGGAAAAUAAUUGUGAAAUUGGUUUCAGACCUUCUCAAACAAGAUCUAGAGAUAAUAGACAAUGGAAUAGAUCAAGUAUAUAGAAUCCAGACGAAUUUCUCCAGAAGAAAUAGAGCCCACAGAGACGUAAUUAUUCAUUUUGUAAAGAAAAGGACCCGGGAUGAAAUCUUGAUGUCCAACAACCGAAACCCAAUGUAUUUUAAGGAAAAAAAGAUAAUAGUAUUAAAAGAAUUCCCUCAGGCAAUACUAAAUAGAAGAAGAAAAUAUUUCUUUCUGACGGAUGAGCUUAAAAGACAAAAAAUCCGCUUUAGAUGGGAAAGAAGCGAAGGGAUAAUGGUUACUUGGAAGGGAGAAAAGCACUGGCUGACUUCAGAGGAGAAGGCAAAGGAUUUUUUUCAAAAGCUGAAGCAAGAUAAGAAGGAAAAUGUGCCUAUACCACCAAGCCCUCCCUCAGUGAAAAGAAAGAAACCAAAGAGAGCUAGGCAUAUAUCACCUAAGGACUCUGAUUUAAAGGUAAAACUAAAUCCAACGGCAUCGGGCACAUCCGAUGUGGGAGAUGACAACGAAGAGGAAUCAGAAGAAAGGGAAGAUGAGGAUAUAGAGUCAGAAGAAGAAGACAAAAUGGAAGAAGAAAAUGUACCCCGGGCCCCAAGCGGUGCAGAAGGAACCGAUUAUGGUGUUGAGUGA
rnacentral:lncRNA from 1 species